rnacentral:misc_RNA from 1 species
UUUCCGUAGGUGAACCUGCGGAAGGAUCAUUCAUAAUAAAGUGUUUUAUAGCACUUUUUAAAAAUCCAUAUCCACCUUGUGUGCAAUGUUAGAUCUCGUCAAUCUUGGCGAGAUUUUUAUACAUCAACUCAUUCUUUAACUAAUUUGUCUGAAAAAUAUUAUGAAUACUUAAUUCAAAACACAACUUUCAACAACGGAUCUCUUGGCUCUC